GAUGAACGCUGGCGGCGUGCCUAAUACAUGCAAGUCGAGCGAACAGACGAGGAGCUUGCUCCUCUGACGUUAGCGGCGGACGGGUGAGUAACACGUGGAUAACCUACCUAUAAGACUGGGAUAACUUCGGGAAACCGGAGCUAAUACCGGAUAAUAUCUUGAACCGCAUGGUUCAAUAGUGAAAGACGGUUUUGCUGUCACUUAUAGAUGGAUCCGCGCUGCAUUAGCUAGUUGGUAAGGUAACGGCUUACCAAGGCAACGAUGCGUAGCCGACCUGAGAGGGUAAUCGGCCACACUGGAACUGAGACACGGUCCAGACUCCUACGGGAGGCAGCAGUAGGGAAUCUUCCGCAAUGGGCGAAAGCCUGACGGAGCAACGCCGCGUGAGUGAUGAAGGUCUUCGGAUCGUAAAACUCUGUUAUUAGGGAAGAACAAAUGUGUAAGUAACUAUGCACUUCUUGACGGUACCUAAUCAGAAAGCCACGGCUAACUACGUG
rnacentral:rRNA from 1 species